GAACCCUAGCAACACCAAUCACUGUUUAUUAGCUACAUGACUGCACUCUGAUCAGCAAAAACCUUCAAAAAAUGGCGUCAAUGUCGAUCUUAACUCGUAAAUGGAGACCUCUUUCCAAAACCCUAAACCCCAAAUUCAUCACAACCUACGCCUUUCUCUCGCAAGAAGCUCAAUUAGCCGAGGAACCACCAUCGCGGCCGGCUUCUACCACUCCACUACCACCGAACCCCGCUACCGGAAGCCCACUCUACAAUGAGAACUGGCGAAGCCCUAUUCCGAACCUGUCCUCUCAAUCCUCCUCUUCUCUUAUCCCCCUAGGGUUUUCGCAACAACAUCCGUCCUCUCGCAUUGAGGCUCUUUCACAAACCCUAGAUGGUGACGGGAUCGUGAACUUGUUUGCAGAUUGGAUGACGUCACAAAAGUGGUCAGAUAUAAAGCAGUUGUUUGAGUUUUGGAUUAGGUCGUUGGAUAACAGCGGGAAGCCUAACAAACCUGAUGCAAACAUGUAUAAUCAUUACUUGAGGGCUAACCUUAUGAUGGGAGCUUCUGCCGGUGAGUUGCUGGAUCUUGUUGCACAAAUGGAAGAUUACGCGAUUGCACCGAACACCGCUUCGUUUAAUUUGGUGCUCAAGGCAAUGUAUCAGGCUAAAGAAUCUGAAGCUGCUGAGAAAUUGAUCGAUCAGAUGAUCCAAUCUGGAAAAGAAUCAAAAGGUGCGCCUGAUGAGGAGUCCUAUCACCUGGUUGUUCUGUUGCUGCUAAAUCAAAAUCACAUUGAUGCUGCAUUGAAGUACAUUGACUUAACCUUAAAAUCAGGGUAUAUGCUGUCAGUUGAAGUAUUCACAGAGUUUGUCAGCAGCUGUGUGAAAACAGGAAAGCUGGAUACAUUAGUAUCAAUAAUAGAGAGAUGUAAGAAAAUGGAUCAAAACAAAGCCUUGUGUCCACCUUGGAAUUUGUGCAAUUAUAUCAUUGAUGUUGCAAUGCAAGCGGAUAAUAGCGAGUUAGCAUAUUAUGGUCUUGAGUUCAUGGCGAGAUGGAUUGCUCGUGGAGAAAUUGCAAGACCACCUGUGUUGCUUUCUGUAGAUGAAGGAUUAGUAGUAAAUGCACUUACAACUGCUGCUAGAAAUUAUAACUCUAAACUCUUAGAUGGCACAUGGGCAAUCCUCAAACGCUCUUUACGCCAAAAGAAAGUGCCCAGCCCAGAAUCUUAUCUUGCUAAGAUCUUUGCCCAUUCUUCAUUGGGGAAUUUGCAGAAGGCUUUCAGUACUUUGCAUGAAUUUGAGAUAUCUUAUAAAGAUUCUACUAAAGAAGCUGAAGAAGACAUGUUCUCUCCGUUUACCACCUUAUAUCCAUUGGUUGUGGCAUGCUCGAAGAACGGAUUUGCAGCUUUAGAUGCGGUUUAUUAUCAACUAGAGAAUUUGAGCAAGGCAGAUCCUCCAUACAAGUCUGUUGCUGCACUAAACUGUGUUAUUUUAGGGUGUGCGAAUAUAUGGGAUGUUGAUCGAGCCUAUCAAACUUUCAGCGCCAUGGAGACAAGUUUCGGAUUGACUCCUGACAUCCAUUCAUAUAAUGCUCUCCUGUGCGCAUUUGGGAAGCUCCAUAAGAGAGAUGAAGCAGUUAAAGUGUUUGAACACUUGGUAAGUUUGGGUGUGAAGCCUAAUGCAAAGUCGUAUGCUCUUUUAAUCGAUGCUCAUCUCAUCAAGCGGGAUCCAAAAUCUGCACUCUCCACAGUUAAUGACAUGGUGGUCGCAGGGUUUGAACCAACAAAGGAGAUUCUGAAAAAGGUUCGCAGACGUUGUGUCCGAGAGAUGGACGAUGAAAGUAAUGACAAAGUGGAUUCCUUCGCAAAAGAUUUUAAAAUCCGGUUGGGUACAGAGAAUCGCCGAGACUUGCUAUUCAACCUUGAAUUCAGCACUGAGUACGCGUAAGAGGUAGUUGGGCACAAGAGAGCUCUCGUUGCAUCAAAGCUCUUACAUGUAAGGGUUGUGGACAAUGCAUUGCAGGUAUCGUCUGAUGGGCUUGGCAUCUCUUGUAUUUUGGCACUUACCAAGAACUACUACUACUUACGCAGUUUUCGGAGUUCCCCUAAUCUGCUCGUGUGUUGGCCAGCUGGUGAGAUCUUCAAACCUGUGUCAAUUACUUGGUUUUGUGCUCAAUUUAUAGCGCCUUUGGUAGUAAUGACUGAUGAGGAUCGUAGUUUUUUGAUUUUUCUUGUAUUCCUUUGUGCUCAUAAAGGGGCGCAGCGAGGUUGAUGGGAUUUGGCAAAAUAAUGGUAGGGCAAUACAGAUCUAAAAAUUAUUAGGAACUUACGAAGUGUUGAUGUUGUUGCUUGUGGCAUGCAAGAAUUUCUUUCUAAUUUGAAAGGUAUUUUAGAUGCUUUUUCACUC